GGGUGAGCAGCAGCAGCAGGUGGGGCUAAACAUUUGUCUGAGCCUGGUGAGACGGGAAGAAACUACAGCGAUAUGUAUCCAGGGAAGCCCGUGGAAGACAGACGAACAGAGCCGUAGAAAACACACUCCUUUGGACCGCACUGUGAAGAUACACCCAACAGCCAUAUACUGUAAACGAAUAGUACAGUACUACACUCACAGUCAACGUGUGUCUUGCGUAACUUCUCAACAUCUUCACCGUGACAGAGGGAGUACAGUGAUC